CCUACGGGUGGCAGCAGUGAGGAAUAUUGGUCAAUGGGCGCGAGCCUGAACCAGCAAAGUAGCGUGAAGGAAGACUGCCCUACGGGUUGUAAACUUCUUUUAUAAAGGAAUAUAGUGAGGCAUGUGUGCCGUUUAAUAUGCACUUUAUGAAUAAGGAGCGGCUAACGCCGUGCCAGCAGCCGCGGUAAUACGGAGGAUCCGAGCGUUUUCCGGAUGUAUUGGGUUUAAAGGGAGCGUAGAUGGGUUGUUAAGUCAGUUGUGAAAGUUUGCGGCUCAACCGUAAAAUUGCAAUUGAUACUGGUAGUCUUGAGUACUGUUGAGGUAGAUGGAAUUCGUGGUGUAGCGGUGAAAUGCUUAGAUAUCACGAAGAACUCCGAUUGCGAAGGCAGUUUACUAAACUGCCACUGACAUUGAUGCUCGAAAGUGUGGGGAUCAAACAGGAUUAGAUACCCGAGUAGUC
rnacentral:rRNA from 1 species